GACGAACGCUGGCGGCGUGCUUAACACAUGCAAGUCGAACGGAAAGGCCCUGCUUUUGUGGGGUGCUCGAGUGGCGAUCGGGUGAGUAACACGUGAGUAACCUGCCCUUUACUUUGGGAUAACUUCAUUAAACUGGGGCUAAUACCGUAUAGGAGCUCCUGCUGCAUGGUGGGGGUUGGUAAGUUUCGGCGGUUGGGGAUGGACUCGCGGCUUAUCAGCUUGUUUGUGGGGUAGUGGCUUACCAAGGCUUUGACGGGUAGCCGUCAUGAGAGGGUGACCGGACACAUUGGGACUGAGAUACGGCACAGACUCCAACGGGAGGCAGCAGUGGGGAAGAUUGCAAAAUGGGCGGAAGCCUGAUGCAGAAACGCCGCGUGCGGGAUGACGGGCUACGGGUUGUAAACCGAUUUCGACUGUGACGAAGCGUGAGUGACGGUAAUGGGUAAAGAAGCACCGGCUAACUACGUG
rnacentral:rRNA from 1 species